GCUGGGCAUAGUGGUGCAUGCCUGUAACCCCAGCUACUCAGGAGGCUGAGGCAGGAGGAUUGCAAGUUCAAAGCCAGCCUCAU
rnacentral:sRNA from 1 species